GACGAACGCUGGCGGCGUGCUUAACACAUGCCAGUCGAACGGAAAGGCCCUGCUUUUGUGGGGUGCUCGAGUGGCGAACGGGUGAGUAACACGUGAGUAACCUGCCCUUGACUUUGGGAUAACUUCAGGAAACUGGGGCUAAUACCGGAUAGGAGCUCCUGCUGCAUGGUGGGGGUUGGAAAGUUUCGGCGGUUGGGGAUGGACUCACGGCUUAUCAGCUUGUUGGUGGGGUAGUGGCUUACCAAGGCUUUGACGGGUAGCCGGCCUGAGAGGGUGACCGGCCACAUUGGGACUGAGAUACGGCCCAGACUCCUACGGGAGGCAGCAGUGGGGAAUAUUGCACAAUGGGCGGAAGCCUGAUGCAGCAACGCCGCGUGCGGGAUGACGGCCUUCGGGUUGUAAACCGCUUUCGCCUGUGACGAAGCGUGAGUGACGGUAAUGGGUAAAGAAGCACCGGCUAACUACGUG
rnacentral:rRNA from 1 species